GUUGAUAAAUGCCACAGCCGUCGUGAGGCGGUGUCGGAAAGCCACGGAUCUCUUUGAAAAGAGAUGGCCGGGUUACCUUC
rnacentral:ncRNA from 1 species